rnacentral:rRNA from 1 species
CCGCCGCGGUAACACCGGCAGCUCUAGUGGUAGCUGUUUUAUUGGGCCUAAAGCGUUCGUAGCCGGUUUAAUAAGUCUCUGGUGAAAUCCUAUAGCUUAACUGUGGGAAUUGCUGGAGAUACUAUUAGACUUGAGAUCGGGAGAGGUCAGAGGUACUCCUGGGGUAGGGGUGAAAUCCUGUAAUCCUAGGAGGACCACCUGUGGCGAAGGCGUCUGACUAGAACGAAUCUGACGGUGAGGAACGAAAGCUAGGGGCGCGAACCGGAUUAGAUACCCGGGUAGUCCUAGCCGUAAACUAUGCGGACUUGGUGUGAGGGUGGCUUUGAGCCGUCCUGGUGCCGAAGGGAAGCUGUUAAGUCCGCCGCCUGGGAAGUACGGUCGCAAGACUGAAACCUAAAGGAAUUGGCGGGGGAGCACCACAACGCGUGGAGCCUGCGGUUUAAUUGGAUUCAACGCCGGAGAUCUCACCAGCGGCGACAGCAGUAUGAUGACCAGGUUGAUGACUUUGUUUGACAAGCUGAGUGGAGGUGCAUGG